CUUGUAUCAUCAAGUAGGCAAUUCACUUGAUUUGAUGUAACAAUGAAGAGCGGAGCAGAGCAAGCAUGGCAGACUUGGAGUUGAGUAAUAAAUGAGGGAGGGAAGGAGGGGGGUCAAUGCGAGCAAAUAGCACGAGGACCAUGUCUGCUACUCUGCCAACAACCCACAUCCCUGUCUCUGUUCAACCCGUCAAAUCCCACUACCCUUUCCCAGCUCCAAUCCCACAAGCUCCUCCUUGAUCUCGUCUUCUCUUUCCCAUUUCCCUCUUCAAUCAACCUCUGUUUCUUUCGCUCAACUAUGCCUGCCAAAAAUCUUCUCAUGUUUCUUCUCUUACUCCUAUCCUUGAAUUCAGUUCACACAAUUGGCAUGGACAUGCCGAGGGAGAGGUUUCUUAUGCAGAAGAGGCGGAAGGAUUUGGGAUCAAGGCCUCCAAGGUGUGUAAACAAGUGCUUGAGUUGCCGGCCUUGCAUGGCCACAUUGGUUGUUUCUCCACGUCAUGAGACCAAGCUUCUCAAACCAUCCACACAUGUAGAAGAUGAUACUUAUUAUCUUCUCUCGUGGAAAUGCACUUGUGGAGAUAGAUUAUUUCAACCUUGAUCUCUUUAAAUAUUUAAUGUACACUGAUAUUAGUGUCUCCUCAUUUGAUGUUUCUUGUAUCAUAUAUGUGUAUGAUACUGACGAUGGAUUUUCAGAAGUCUCAACAUUCUGUGUGUGUGUGUGUGUGUGUCUUAGCUUCUAUUGUAAUGCACGAUCAUAUGUUCUGCAAUAUCAAGGAGGGCAAGUGUGUCUU